AUGAAGGCCCCCACUCAGCUCCUUAGCUUCCUGCUGCUCUGGCUCCCAGGAGCCAGGUGUGCCAUCCAGAUGACCCAGUCUCCACCCUCUGUGUCUGCAUCUCCAGGAGACAGAGUCACCAUCUCCUGCCGGGCCAGUCAGGGUAUUAGCAGCAGGUUAGCCUGGUAUCAGCAGAAACCAGGGAAAGCUCCUAAGCUCCUGAUCCAUAAUGCAAACAGUGUGCAGCCUGGGGUCCCAUCCCGCUUCAGUGGCAGUGGCUCUGGGACAGAUUUCACUCUCACCAUCAGCAGCCUGGAGCCUGAAGAUGCUGCCACUUACUACUGUCAGCAGCAUAACAGCUACCCUCCCACAGUGACACCCAGAGACAGAGCGGGGAAC